rnacentral:rRNA from 1 species
AUGCAUGAGGAGUUUGAUGCUUUGCAGGCCAACCAUACAUGGACCCUCGUACCUCAGCCUCGCGGUACCAACAUCGUGACAGGAAAGUGGGUUUUUCGACACAAGCUCAAACCUGAUGGUUCCCUGGAUCGCUACAAGGCUCGUUGGGUCGUACGAGGAUUCACUCAGCGUGCUGGUGUUGAUUUUGGAGAGACAUUUAGUCCUGUGGUGAAGCCUUCUACUGUCCGCACAAUGCUCCAUCUUGCCGCCUCACGUCAUUGGCCCGUUCAUCAAUUGGACGUCUCCAAUGCGUUUCUUCAUGGAGUACUAUAG